rnacentral:rRNA from 1 species
AGGGUUUGAUCAUGGCUCAGAUUGAACGCUGGCGGCAGGCCUAACACAUGCAAGUCGAGCGGUAGAGAGGAGCUUGCUCCUCUUGAGAGCGGCGGACGGGUGAGUAAUGCCUAGGAAUCUGCCUGGUAGUGGGGGAUAACGUUCGGAAACGGACGCUAAUACCGCAUACGUCCUACGGGAGAAAGCAGGGGACCUUCGGGCCUUGCGCUAUCAGAUGAGCCUAGGUCGGAUUAGCUAGUUGGUGAGGUAAUGGCUCACCAAGGCGACGAUCCGUAACUGGUCUGAGAGGAUGAUCAGUCACACUGGAACUGAGACACGGUCCAGACUCCUACGGGAGGCAGCAGUGGGGAAUAUUGGACAAUGGGCGAAAGCCUGAUCCAGCCAUGCCGCGUGUGUGAAGAAGGUCUUCGGAUUGUAAAGCACUUUAAGUUGGGAGGAAGGGCAGUAAAUUAAUACUUUGCUGUUUUGACGUUACCGACAGAAUAAGCACCGGCUAACUCUGUGCCAGCAGCCGCGGUAAUACAGAGGGUGCAAGCGUUAAUCGGAAUUACUGGGCGUAAAGCGCGCGUAGGUGGUUUGUUAAGUUGGAUGUGAAAUCCCCGGGCUCAACCUGGGAACUGCAUUCAAAACUGACUGACUAGAGUAUGGUAGAGGGUGGUGGAAUUUCCUGUGUAGCGGUGAAAUGCGUAGAUAUAGGAAGGAACACCAGUGGCGAAGGCGACCACCUGGACUAAUACUGACACUGAGGUGCGAAAGCGUGGGGAGCAAACAGGAUUAGAUACCCUGGUAGUCCACGCCGUAAACGAUGUCAACUAGCCGUUGGAAGCCUUGAGCUUUUAGUGGCGCAGCUAACGCAUUAAGUUG